rnacentral:tRNA from 1 species
AUCUUUUUAGUACAAAAAGUAUAAUUGGCCUCCAACCAAAAGGUUAAAAAAUUUAAAAAGAUA